rnacentral:rRNA from 1 species
AUUGAACGCUGGCGGCAGGCCUAACCCAUGCAAGUCGAGCGCGCGGCGGACGGGUGAAAAAUGUCGGGGAAACUGCCAGAUGGGGGGGGAUAACUAAUGGAAACGGUAGCUAAUACCGCAUCCCAUCGGAUAUGCCCAUAUGGGAUUAGCGUGUAGGGUAGGUAACGGCUCACCUAGGCGGCGAUCCCUAGCUGGUCUGAGAGGAUGACCAGCCAAACUGGCACGGAGACACGGCCCAGACUCCGACGGGAGGCAGCAGUGGGGAAUAUUGCACAAUGGGCGCAAGCCUGAUGCAGCCAUGCCGCGUGUAUGAAGAAGGCCUUCGGGUUGUAAAGUACUUUCAGCGGGGAGGCGUUACCCGCAGAAGAAGCACCGGCUAACGCCGUGCCAGCAGCCGCGGUAAUAC